AGAGUUUGAUCCUGGCUCAGAACGAACGCUGGCGGCGUGCCUAACACAUGCAAGUCGAACGUGAUUAGAGAGCUUGCUCUCUAUGAAAGUGGCGCACGGGUGAGUAACGCGUAGAUAAUCUACCUGGUGAUUUGGGAUAACACUUCGAAAGGGGUGCUAAUACGAAUAAGCCCACAGGGUCCUUGGACCCAGCGGGAAAAGGAGGGGACCUUCGGGCCUUCCGUCAUCAGAUGAGUCUGCGUACCAUUAGCUAGUUGGUAGGGUAAAGGCCUACCAAGGCGACGAUGGUUAGCUGGUCUGAGAGGAUGAUCAGCCACACUGGAACUGAGACACGGUCCAGACUCCUACGGGAGGCAACAGUGGGGAAUUUUGCGCAAUGGGGGAAACCCU
rnacentral:rRNA from 1 species